rnacentral:misc_RNA from 1 species
AAGCCUCUCCAUGGCCU